ACGGGAGGCAGCAGUGGGGAAUAUUGCACAAUGGGGGAAACCCUGAUGCAGCGACGCCGCGUGAGUGAAGAAGUAUUUCGGUAUGUAAAGCUCUAUCAGCAGGGAAGAAAAUGACGGUACCUGACUAAGAAGCCCCGGCUAACUACGUGCCAGCAGCCGCGGUAAUACGUAGGGGGCAAGCGUUAUCCGGAUUUACUGGGUGUAAAGGGAGCGUAGGCGGCACGGCAAGCCAGAAGUGAAAACCCAGGGCUUAACUCUGGGAUUGCUUUUGGAACUGUCGAGCUAGAGUGCAGGAGAGGUAAGUGGAAUUCCUAGUGUAGCGGUGAAAUGCGUAGAUAUUAGGAGGAACACCAGUGGCGAAGGCGGCUUACUGGACUGUAAAUGACGCUGAGGCUCGAAAGCGUGGGGAGCAAACAGGAUUAGAUACCCUGGUA
rnacentral:rRNA from 1 species